CACGGCACUGAGCCAGAAUAAUUCAACAUAACAAUUAAAUAUGAAGGAGCUGUGGCGAAGCGGUCCCUCAGUGUACAGGAGUCAAACAGGCCCAGGCAGCAUGUGGAGCACUGUGACCCUCCACACUGCUGCAACCUGUAGUUCCCAACUCCUCUUGGCACCAUAUAUUCAAGUCAACUCAAUAUUUCAUCAAUAGGUAGAAAUGUUUAUGUCCUAAUGCUGGGACCAAAGUCAUCAGUCCUUGUGUUUUGGACAGACAGACAGAGGAAUCAAUCAUGCUGUGAAAUCACUCAGAGGUAGAGAUAUCACACGGUUGGUAAAGCGUGGAAUGAACGGACAGACGAGUGGAAUCGAUCCCCACUCACUGACCAAGUGCGUCCUGAGGGAUGUCCUGAAAAAUGAGGGCUGGUGGACGGGAUGUAGAGACACCUGUGACAGAAUCUACAUUGUGAAAUGGUAUAAAUGCUGUGCACAGGCCCAUCAGCGAACUAAUUUCAUCUAUAGAGAUAUGUUGUAGCAUUCAAGUAUUAUAUCAUGUAUCAUGAGCUUAUUGUAUGCUUUGCUUGGAAAAUUGUGACCUACAGGAACAAGCUUUUAUUGUGAAAUGAAAUCUCAUUCUACCCCUUAUUGUUUAAUGACUUUUACUUAACUAAUUUCUCUACGCUUUAUUUAUUUUAUUGAGAAAUGUAUAUAAUUUAUACUGCAAUAUUAUUAUAAUAAAUUGCUUAUAUCAUUUA